GACGAACGCUGGCGGCGUGCUUAACACAUGCAAGUCGAACGGUGAAGGGACCGGUUUUUGCUGGUUCUGGAUGAGUGGCGAACGGGUGAGUAACACGUGAGUAACCUGCCCCCUUCUUCUGGAUAACCGCAUGAAAGUGUGGCUAAUACGGGAUAUUCUGCGCCUGCUGCAUGGUGGGUGUGGGAAAGAUAUUGUUUCGGUGGGGGAUGGGCUCGCGGCCUAUCAGCUUGUUGGUGGGGUGAUGGCCUACCAAGGCGGUGACGGGUAGCCGGCCUGAGAGGGUGGACGGUCACACUGGGACUGAGACACGGCCCAGACUCCUACGGGAGGCAGCAGUGGGGAAUAUUGCACAAUGGGCGCAAGCCUGAUGCAGCGACGCCGCGUGAGGGAUGGAGGCCUUCGGGUUGUAAACCUCUUUCGCCAGUGAAGCAGGCCUGUCCCUUUUGUGGGUGGGUUGACGGUAGCUGGAGAAGAAGCGCCGGCUAACUACGUG
rnacentral:rRNA from 1 species